GUUGAACGCUGGCGGCAUGCCUAACACAUGCAAGUCGAACGGACGCUUCGAGCUUGCUCCUGGAUUCGGCGGCGGCCGGUUGGGUAAUGCCUAUGAAUCUGCCUCGUCGUGUGGGAUCACGUCCGGAUACGGGCGCUACUACCGCAUACGUCCUGAGUGAGAAGGAGGGGAAUCUUCGUCUCUUUCGCUAUCUGAUGAGCCUAGGUCGGACUAGCUAGUUGGUGGGGUAAUGGCCUACCAAGGCGACGAUCCGCAACGGGUCUGAGAGGAUGACCAGUCAGACUGGAACUGAGACACGGUCCAGACUCGUACGGGAGGCAGCAGUGGCGAAUAUUGGACGAUGGGCGAAAGCCUGAUCCAGCCAUGCCGCGUGUGUGAAGAAGGUCUUCGGAGUGUAAAAAACAGUAAGUUGGGAUGAAGGGCAGUAAGUUAAGAGCCGGCUGUUUUGACGGUACCAACAGAAUAAGCACCGGCUAACUUCGUG
rnacentral:rRNA from 1 species